rnacentral:rRNA from 1 species
AUUGAACGCUGGCGGCAGGCCUAACACAUGCAAGUCGAGCGGAGCGGCGGACGGGUGAGUAAUGCCUAGGAAUCUGCCUGGUAGUGGGGGAUAACGUCCGGAAACGGGCGCUACUACCGCAUACUAUCAGAUGAGCCUCGGUCGGAUUAGCUAGUUGUUGGGGUAAAGGCCUACCAAGGCGACGAUCCGUAACUGGUCUGAGAGGAUGAUCAGUCAAACUGGAACGGGGACACGGCCCAGACUCCUAGGGGAGGCAGCAGAGGGGAAUAUUGGAAAAGGGGCGAAAGCCGGAUGAAGACAGGCCGCGGAUGUGAAGAAGGUCUUCGGAUUGAAAGGCACGUUAAGUUGGGAGGCGGUACCAAAAGAGUAAGGGCCGGCUAACUACGUGCCAGCAGCCGCGGUAAUUC